GUGACUGCGUACCUUUUGUAUAAUGGGUCAGCGACUUAUAUUCUGUAGCAAGGUUAACCGUAUAGGGGAGCCGGAGGGAAACCGAGUCUUAAUUGGGCGUUAAGUUGCAGGGUAUAGACCCGAAACCCGGUGAUCUAGCCAUGGGCAGGUUGAAGGUUGGGUAACACUAACUGGAGGACCGAACCGACUAAUGUUGAAAAAUUAGCGGAUGACCUGUGGCUGGGGGUGAAAGGCCAAUCAAACCGGGAGAUAGCUGGUUCUCCCCGAAAGCUAUUUAGGUAGCGCCUCGUGAAUUCAUCUCCGGGGGUAGAGCACUGUUUCGGCUAGGGGGCCAUCCCGGCUUACCAACCCGAUGCAAACUGCGAAUACCGGAGAAUGUUAUCACGGGAGACACACGGCGGGUGCUAACGUCCGUCGUGAAGAGGGAAACAACCCAGACCGCCAGCUAAGGUCCCAAAGUCAUGGUUAAGUGGGAAACGAUGUGGGAAGGCCCAGACAGCCAGGAUGUUGGCUUAGAAGCAGCCAUCAUUUAAAGAAAGCGUAAUAGCUCACUGGUCGAGUCGGCCUGCGCGGAAGAUGUAACGGGGCUAAACCAUGCACCGAAGCUGCGGCAGC
rnacentral:rRNA from 2 species